rnacentral:rRNA from 1 species
UGUCCGGAAAUCCCGAAGAGAGUUUCGGGAGUUGCUCGCAAGAGAGCCGGAACACAGGUGCUGCAUGGCUGUCGUCAGCUCGUGUCGUGAGAUGUUGGGUUAAGUCCCGCAACGAGCGCAACCCUUGUCAUUAGUUGCCAUCAUUUGGUUGGGCACUCUAAUGAGACUGCCGGUGACAAACCGGAGGAAGGUGGGGAUGACGUCAAGUCCUCAUGGCCCUUAUGGGUAGGGCUUCACACGUCAUACAAUGGUCGGUACAGAGGGUUGCCAACCCGCGAGGGGGAGCUAAUCCCACAAAGCCGAUCGUAGUCCGGAUCGCAGUCUGCAACUCGACUGCGUGAAGUCGGAAUCGCUAGUAAUCGUGGAUCAGCAUGUCACGGUGAAUACGUUCCCGGGUCUU